rnacentral:rRNA from 1 species
GACGAACGCUGGCGGCGUGCCUAAUACAUGCAAGUUGAGCGCUGAAGGUUGGUACUUGUACCAACUGGAUGAGCAGCGAACGGGUGAGUAACGCGUGGGGAAUCUGCCUCUGAGCGGGGGACAACAUUUGGAAACGAAUGCUAAUACCGCAUAAAAACUUUAAACACAAGUUUUAAGUUUGAAAGAUGCAAUUGCAUCACUCAAAGAUGAUCCCGCGUUGUAUUAGCUAGUUGGUGAGGUAAAGGCUCACCAAGGCGAUGAUACAUAGCCGACCUGAGAGGGUGAUCGGCCACAUUGGGACUGAGACACGGCCCAAACUCCUACGGGAGGCAGCAGUAGGGAAUCUUCGGCAAUGGACGAAAGUCUGACCGAGCAACGCCGCGGGAGUGAAGAAGGUUUUCGGAUCGUAAAACUCUGUUGGUAGAGAAGAACGUUGGUGAGAGUGGAAAGCUCAUCAAGUGACGGUAACUACCCAGAAAGGGACGGCUAACUACGUG